UCGGCCAGUAUGGCAUCGCAGUUUUUGCAUAUCUUCGUGUAGAAAAAGACGGCG
rnacentral:lncRNA from 1 species